AGUGAACGCUGGCGGUAGGCUUAACACAUGCAAGUCGAACGGCAACGCACUAAGCGCUUGCUCUUAUAGGUGGCGAGUGGCGGACGGGUGAGGAAUCCAUCGGAAUCUACUUUUUCGUGGGGGAUAACGUAAGGAAACUUACGCUAAUACCGCAUACGCCCUACGUGUGAAAGCAUGGGAUCUUCUGACCUUUCGCGUUUGAAUGAGCCGGUGUCGGAUUAGCUAGUUGGCGGGGUGAUGGCCCACCAUGGCGACGAUGCGGAGCUGGUCUGAGGGGAUGGUCAGCGGCACUGGAACGGAGACACGGUCCAGAGUCCUACGGGAGGCAGCAGAGGGGAAUAUUGGACAACGGGGGCAAGCCUGAUCCAGCCGUACCGCGUGGGUGGAGAAGGCGGUCGGGUUGUAAAGCCCUUUUUUUGGGAGAGAAACGCAGCAGGUUAAUACGCCGCUGUUCUGACGGUACCCGAAGAAUAAGCACCGGCUAACUUCGUG
rnacentral:rRNA from 1 species